rnacentral:rRNA from 1 species
GACGAACGCUGGCGGCGUGCUUAACACAUGCAAGUCGAACGGAAAGGCCCUGCUUUUGUGGGGUGCUCGAUUGGCGAACGGGUGAGUAACACGUGAGUAACCUGCCCUUGACUUUGGGAUAACUUCAGGAAACUGGGGCUAAUACCGGAUAUGAGCUCCUGCUGCAUGGUGGGGGUUGGAAAGUUUCGGCGGUUUGGGAUGGACUCGCGGCUUAUCAGCUUGUUGGUGGGGUAGUGGCUUACCAAGGCUUUGACGGGUAGCCGGCCUGAGAGGGUGACCGGCCACAUUGGGACUGAGAUACGGACCAGACUCCUACGGGCGGCAGAAGUGGGGAAUAUUGCACAAUGGGCGGAAGCCUGAUGCAGCAACGCCGCGUGCGGGAUGACGGCCUUCGGGUUGUAAACCGCUUUCGCCUGUGACGAAGCGUGAGUGACGGUAAUGGGUAAAGAAGCACCGGCUAACUACGUG